GGUCUCUUGUCAUCCUCUGUUCUGAUUGGUCCAGCAGAACACUCAACAGAGAGGUCUCUUGUGAUCCUCUGCUCUGAUUGGUCCAGCACAACAAUCAACAGAGAGGUCUCGUUGUGAUCCUCUGCUCUGAUUGGUCCAGCAGUACACUCAACAGAGAGGUCUCUUGUGAUCCUCUGCUCUGAUUGGUCCAGCGGAACACUCAACAGAGAGGUCUCGUUGUGAUCCUCUGCUCUGAUUGGUCCAGCAGUACACUCAACAGAGAGGUCUCUUGUGAUCCUCUGCUCUGAUUGGUCCAGCAGAACACUCAACAGAGACGCCUCUUGUGAUCCUCUGCUCUGAUUGGUCCAGAAGAACACUCAACAGAGAGGUCUCUUGUGAUCCUCUGCUCUGAUUGGUCCAGCAGAACACUCAACAGAGAGGUCUCUUGUGAUCGAUCCUCUGGUCUGAUUGGUCCAGCAGAACACUCGACAGAGAAGCCUCUUGUGAUCCUCUGCUCUGAUUGGUCCAGCGGAACACUCGACAGACAGG